rnacentral:rRNA from 1 species
GACGAGUCCGGCAAACGUUAUUCGGAAUUACUGGGCUUAAAGCGUGCGUAGGCGGCUGGAAGGGUUGGGAGUGAAAUCCCACGGCCUAACCGUGGAAUUGCUCUCAAAACCGUCCGGCUAGAGGAGGUUAGAGGCGAGCGGAACUACGGGUGGAGCGGUGAAAUGCGUUGAUAUCCGUAGGAACACCGGUGGCGAAGGCGGCUCGCUGGGGCCUUUCUGACGCUGAGGCACGAAAGCCAGGGUAGCGAACGGG